CCUACGGGAGGCAGCAGUGGGGAAUAUUGGACAAUGGGCGCAAGCCUGAUCCAGCAAUGCCGCGUGAGUGAUGAAGGCCUUAGGGUCGUAAAGCUCUUUUACCAGGGAUGAUAAUGACAGUACCUGGAGAAUAAGCUCCGGCUAACUCCGUGCCAGCAGCCGCGGUAAUACGGAGGGAGCUAGCGUUGUUCGGAAUUACUGGGCGUAAAGCGUACGUAGGCGGUUAUUCAAGUCAGAGGUGAAAGCCCGGGGCUCAACCCCGGAACGGCCUUUGAAACUAGGUAGCUAGAAUCUUGGAGAGGUCAGUGGAAUUCCGAGUGUAGAGGUGAAAUUCGUAGAUAUUCGGAAGAACACCAGUGGCGAAGGCGACUGACUGGACAAGUAUUGACGCUGAGGUACGAAAGCGUGGGGAGCAAACAGGAUUAGAUACCCUGGUAGUCCACGCCGUAAACGAUGAUAACUAGCUGUUCGGGCACUUGGUGCUUGAGUGGCGCAGCUACGACAUUAAGUUAUCCGUCCGUCGGGUAGGUACGGUCGCGAGAAGUUAAAACGUUAAAAGUAAAGUUAGUAACGGUCGUGUUAGACGUGCCGAACGGACGACGACGAGGGAGGUUAGG
rnacentral:rRNA from 1 species